GAUGAACGCUAGCUACAGGCUUAACACAUGCAAGUCGAGGGGUAACGAGAGGAAAGCUUGCUUUCCUUGUCGACGACCGGCGCACGGGUGAGUAACGCGUAUCCAACCUGCCCCCAACUAAGGAAUAACCUUGCGAAAGUAAGACUAAUACCUUAUAAUUUCCUCAGAUGUCAUCUGACGAGGAAUAAAGAUUUAUCGGUUGUGGAUGGGGAUGCGUCUGAUUAGCUUGUUGGCGGGGUAACGGCCCACCAAGGCAACGAUCAGUAGGGGUUCUGAGAGGAAGGUCCCCCACAUUGGAACUGAGACACGGUCCAAACUCCUACGGGAGGCAGCAGUGAGGAAUAUUGGUCAAUGGGCGGAAGCCUGAACCAGCCAAGUAGCGUGCAGGAUGACGGCCCUAUGGGUUGUAAACCUCUUUUAUAAGGGAACAAAACGCUCCACGAGUGGAGCUUUGCAUGUACCUUUUGAAUAAGGAUCGGCUAACUCCGUGCCAGCAGCCGCAGUAA
rnacentral:rRNA from 1 species